AGGAGGAGGAGGAGGAGGAGCAACUACAUACAAGGAUACAACCAGCCUAAGAGAAAAAAUUGUGUUUUGGAGAACAAAGCUGGUAGAACAUCUAAGCUUUUUGGAACUAAAGACCCAGAUACUUGACACAGCUACAGGAUUUGGUGUUUGCCCUGUGGGCUUUCAGACUAGCUUUGAUCUAAUCUUUCCCCACUAUGUCUCCAUUCCUUCCUUUUGUAAUGGGAAUGUAUAUUUUGUGCCUUUUAAUAUUUAAACUAUGUAAUUCAUUUUUAUUUUAUUUUAUUUCUUUAUUUUAUUGGAGUCGCAGGUAAAAGGUUGCUUUGAGUCUCAGAAGAGACUUUGGACUUUUGAUGUGUUAAACUGUUAAAAGGCUAUGGGGACUUUUGAAGUUGGACUACAGUUUUGCAUCAUGAGAUGGCCAUGAAUGAAUGUGGUCCAGAGGCCAACUGUGGAGGGAGCCAAGGUUUGAAUCUCAGCACCUACAAUGGACAGUUCAUCCCUGCCUAAAGCUGCAGCUCGAAGAGAUCCAAUGCCACCUUCUAGUCUCCGUGGGCACUGAAUGCAUAUGGCACAUGAUACAACCUGAAUGGGAAAAAAUGGGCUUCUGCCAGGUCAUUCCUGUUUUGCUGUUAUUAAUACCGAAGAUACUCAGAGGACAUGACCAUCCAGGAACAGGGUGCAACGGGUUCAUGGUUAUCCUGGACUACUUUCUUUGGGAAACAGUCCCCAGACAGGAUCCACAUAGAAGGUAAGGCUAUAAGCUAAUGAAGAAGCAGGAGAAAUGUCCCUCAGUCUUGCUGAAAUUAACUGACGAUAGACAAUUGACAGGGAAAAAAGUACCCAAAACCAUUUAGUGUGUAUUACCAUUCGUAUAUUUUAGGGACACGAAGACAACGAGACAGAAUGUCGCUGUGUAGCCCCAGCUGGCCUGGAACCCAUGGCAGUCCUGUGCUUUAGUCUCCCAUGAUCCUCUACACUUAGUCAGUUCACAUCAUAAAUGUCCGUCAAUGGCUAGGCAUGAAAGCAGUUUCCAGCCCGCAGUGUUAUUGGGAAAUUAAGUCAUCGGAAAGGAAAGGCAGAGGUCUCAAGUGAGAGAAGAAGGAAAUGGAGAUGGAAUAGAAUAUGACAAAAGGGCAGAAGGAAGGGCUGCCUUGGUGUGAGCAAGCAACCAGCAAGCAGAAAGUGGCCUGGAGAAAGAUCAAAAUCCAUGCAUGAAGAAGGGUUAUAACGAAACCCAUCACUCUGGGUCUCAAUUACAAAAUGAAUUAAAAAUAUUUAUGAACAAAACCCAGAAAAAUUAAAGGAAAAUUAAGGCAAAAUGGUUAGAAAGUAAACGUUGCCUUCCCCAGGGAGUGAGAGAGAGUGGUAUGUGGCUGCAGGUGAAUACCUGAAGAAGUGACUGGACAGGGCUCCUCUCAGCUCUGGGAGGAGGUAGCCUCGCGUCACAGUAAGUGAGGGACAAAAAUCCUGUCUUUUGCAGAGAAUCAGUUCAUCUGUUCAGAUGCCCUUAGAAAAGCAGACAGACAGGGGUCCGGUAAGGCGAUGAUGAGCUUCGACUCUUUAGACUCUCGAGUCCAGUGGCUCUCCUUUCCUAGUUAUUCAGAUACUGGGGCUGAGAGCGGGGCAUGCAGUUAAGACUAGAUUUAUUUUGGAAGAAAUGUAUUCGGCCAUAUAAGUGAACUGAGAAAUCCUUAACUUGUACUUUGUUAAAUAAAAAGAAUUAAAGAUGACUAGACAGACCAGGGGCAAGAAAGCAUGGGUAAGAGACCUGAGUUGGAAAGCUCACACGGUCAACACACCACACUUGGGACUAUCACUUUCUGAAGUGUCCACCUCCUGCCUUAUAAUGCUACUUUGUGUAAUGCAAACAGCAUAAAUACUAUACUGUACCUACAGUUUUGUCCUAAUGGAGGCCUAGUGCUCCAGUUUGGAAAAUAAACUGCAUUGCUGACAUAAUAAGAAAACCAUGCCAAAACAUGCCUGUAUUUUAAAUUAGGGCUGGGAUGGUUUAAAUGGCACCCAGAGGCUCAUAUUUUUAUCUACAUGAUCCCUAGUUGGAGGAACUGUUUGCAAAGGGAGAAGGGGGUGUGACCUUGCUGGAGGAAGGCUUUGAGGUUUCAAAAGGUGGAACCAUCCCCAGUGCUGUCUCUGCCUCCCGCUUAUGGAUCAACAGAUGAGCUCUCAGCUGUCCCUCUGCUCUGCCAUUCUGGACUCUCACUCUCUGAAACUGUGUGUCACAGCAAUAGAAGAGUAAUAAAGUGGGGUUGGGGAUUUAGCUCAGUGGUAGAGCGCUUGCCUAGGAAGCGCAAGGCCCUGGGUUCGAUCCCCAGCUCCGAAAAAUAGAAGAAAAAAAAAAAAGGGCCCGCCAUGAACAAAUGCAGCAAGACAAUGAGCCUGCACCACAAGGCCACAUCACCUCCCACCACAGUGCAAAGGACCAGAUUGCAGUGGCCACAUGUAAAGGUUGGUAUUGAUGACUUAUAAGAGUUUUAUAUAUUGAAGUACAAGUUCCUUAUCAUAUACGUAAUUUGAGAAAUUGUGAAUUUUCUUUCUCGAUGGCAAUUUCUGGAACAUGGUUUUAAAAUGUGUGUGUGUGUGUGUGUGUGUGUGUGUACGCACAAACAUUCUAUAGUAUGCAUUUGGAGGUCAGAGGACAACUUGUAAGAGUCUAUUCACUUAAUGUGGCCUAUAGGACUGAACUGAGGUCAUCCAUCCAUCAGAUUUGACAGUAAGCUUGGUGGCAGUAAAGAUCAAGUUUGUUUUUACCUGCUAAGUCUUCUCACUAGGUCACUACUUAUUUUAAAUUUAUUCUUUUUAUCAAUUUCAUACAUGAUACCAUGCAUCUUGAUUGUGUCUACCUCAACUCCAUGCUUACACUCACUGUGGAUAUCUCAAACAAGUCUCCCUCCAACCUUCAUAUUUCUCUGCAGAAUAGAGGUUUUAAUUUUGGUAUCUGGUUUAUUUCUUUCUUCAUGUGAUUUUGUUAUCAUACUUAAAUAACCCAUUGCCUGAUUUAAAAAUUAUAGUGACUUAAACUGUUUUCUUCUAGGAGUCUGCUAGUUUUAGUUCUCAGACAGAUUUGAGUUCCUUUUUGUGUGGGAAGGGAGGCAAUACCUUUGAAUAUCUGCAUGCCAGUGUCCUGCUUGUUGGCACCAUACAGGUUGUUUCUUCAUUCUGGCACUGCUGGGAUCAAGCUUAGGACCUUACAUGUGCUCAGAACAAUGCUGAGUAGACAUGGCAAAGGUAAAUACAGGUGAGCUCCAGCCCCAGUCCUUCAGCUCUAGUUUUGAAAGCCUAGUCUUUCUUAUAGAGUUAGUUCAGUAUUUCUAGUAAGAAAUACGUGUAAGACUGUAAGUGUAUCUCUGAAAUCGCAAUCGCAUUUUCAUAGAUUUGUAUGCCUGACCUAAGCCAGUUAUUAGGUGUUGAUUACUGCAGUGUUUAUUUGAGAUGAGGGCUCAGUAUGAAUCCCAGUCUCAUCUCAAUCAUGAAGUCCCCUUGCAUCAGCCUUCCAAGUGCUGGGCUUACAGGCAUACACCACAGCACCCAGCUUCAUUACUAUGUUUUGAAAGAAGCCUUGAAAUUAGAAAGUAUCAUUCCUCCAGCUUCCUCUAUAUUUUCAAGAUUGUUCAUCUAUUUAAAGUUUUCUCCAUCUGCAUAUAAAUUUUAGGAACAGUGUGCCAAUUCUAUGAAGAAUUCAGAUGGGAUUUUGAUAGAGUUUUGCUCAACCUACAGAUUAAUGAGAGCACUACCAUGGUAAUAUUUUUUUCUGGUCUGUAAAUAUGGGCCAUUACUACAUCUCUUUUAAAUACACUCAGGAAUAUCUUUUGGCAUCAGCACCUGCUUGCAGACUGUGAAAGACUUUCAUAGUUUUCAAAGUAUGGCUGCCCUUUUUUUGUGAAAUUUAUUCCUAUUUCAUUUACUUUGGUUCUACUAGAUAUGAAACUUUAAUUUUUAUUAAAUAUUUUUUUAUUUAGCCCACACAUGUGUUUUUGGACUCCAUAAACUGGAUUCUAUUCCCUUUUCUCUAAUUCCUUCCCAUUCCCCCUACUUUUCUCUCCCAUUGUCACGUUUUCGUUUUUCCUUUUACACACCUCCUCCUUUCCUCCCCUCCCUUUAAUUUAAUACCAACUGAAUACAUUUAACACUGUCUAUAUGACCACAGUAUGAGACUGUCUGCAUGGAACAGACUCUCAGGGCCAGUAUCUCUGAAGAAAAGUGAUUCCACUUCUCCCAGGAUCCAUCAGUAUUGGAACAUGCUAUGAAUUCUAUAGGGAAAGAGAAAUAAUAGUUUUACCCAGAUGUGAACCCUAGAGCUCCAAUAAUGGUUGACCUUGGCAGGAUAAGCCUGCUGGAAUAAGAGUGGAAAAGAUGGUAUGGGACUAACCAACCACUUUAUGUACCACAAGAUGGAACCCACGCCUAGAAGAAUUAACCCCAAACCAACCAACCAAAACCCUGUGUGUGGCUAAAACCUAGUACUAUCGUUCCGCUAAAUGGACAUAUUAAUAAACUACCUCCGAAGUUCUUGGCUUUCUAACCAUAAAUGAGUAAGGGAAGCUUCUUUUUACAGUGGAUGGUGAUUAAUAGAGAGACCCACAACUGAUCAAUGUGCGGAGAUCAAAAGACUGUGGAAUGCUCAGUUCUAAGUGGAACAUUACACAUGUAUCAUACCUCUUCCUUCAGAGAUCAUUGCAGACAAAGGGAUAAGCAAAAAGGUUCUAAGAGCCAGAGGGGUUGGGUGUCUGUACAGAAACUGGUUUUACCUGCCUUAAGAGUUACAUUAAUAACAUGUAUGAACUCCAGUGGUUGUGACUGCACAAAAUCAAGCCAGACAAAAUCCCAACAUGGAUGGAGGAGGGGCUCAUAAAGUCUCAUCCAGAAACAGGAGUCAGUUUUCUUCAGGGAUGAUGCUCCAGGGAGGCGUGUUCCAGGAGAUGGUACUACAUCCGGGAACACACAGGCAGCAUUAUGUGGACGUGGUGGGCCUUUCUAAAGUAUAUGCAUAUAGAUUGAAGGAAAAUAUUGGGAGGGAUCGGAGAGAAACUAGAGGUGGGGGAAGGGAAGGAGAGAUCUGAUCAGAUGCAUUAUAUGCAUACAUAAAAUUCCCAAACAAUACAAAUAAUCAGUAAAUAUUUUUGUUCCUUGCCUUUUCUUUUUUGGAGCUAAUUUUUUAAAUUAAGAAUUAGAAAUUUGUAUUUUUUCCUGAAACAGUGUCAGUAGAUUCUCUAGGAAUGUGUCCGUUUCUCCUAAAUUACCUAAUCUGAUGCCAUAUAAUUAUUUUCACUUCUAUAUAGUUGUAGAAAUGUCCCUACUUUAUUUCUGGUUUUAGUAAUUACAGUAUUGUCUCAGUCCAUUUCUGUUGCUAUAAGUAAGUAUCCCAAACUGGGUAAUUUACAGAGAACAGGGGCUUAUUUAGAUCAGUUCUACAGGCUGAGGAUGUAAGGGCUUAGCACUGGAUCUGCUUAGCACCUGACUCACAUGGCCGAGUGGAGAUCAUGGGGCAGGGUGAAGCAAAAGCAGGAGCUCAGGUCUUUCCUUCUUAAAAAGCUACUGAUGCAGUCAUCCAGACCACCCUCCUGACCUCAUCUACGUCACGUGCUUUCAUCACAUUCACACCCUUGGUCACCGUCACAGACACGAAGUAUUUUUCACCUGUUUGUUUUUGUGUAAAUGGGUUUAUGCCUGCAUGUAUGUCUGUGUAUCACAUGCAUGCCCAGUGGCUGUGAGGCCCUGAAAGCAGAAUGUGGACAGCUAUGGGUUUCCAUGUGGGUUUCCAUGUGGGUGCUGGGAACCAAACAGUCUUCUGGAAGAGCAGCCAGUGCCCUCAAUCAUGGAGCUAUCUCUAUUAACGCUCACCUUUUCCCCUAUUAAAUUUGGACACAUGUAUUCUGAAGUUGUUUUGUGUGCAUUUAACUGUUUAUAUUUUCCAGAAGAAGUGACCAAUUUAGCAUAAAAUGUCCUUCGGUAACAUUUUGUUGUUGUUGUCGUACAAUCUGCCUUGUCUGGUAGUUUGCUUUUCUUUGCUUUUUUUUUUUUUUAAAGAUUUAUUUAUUUAUUAUAUAUAAGUACACACUGUAGCUGUCUUCAGAUACAC